ACUUUUAUACACUUUCAUAUUUUGGUGUUACUGUUCCUUUAAAGGGACCAGUGCUGGCAGGGGUUUUCCUAGUUUAUUACAGAAGCUGUUACCCAUAAUUAUGCUUUUUUUUUUGCAGCCACAAAGAAGGGAUUAUGGCAAUUUGAACUAAAAACAUUGCAUUAUAGAAAUAGCACAAGCUACUGAUUAACAAGCCUGGAAGUGAUCUGAUUUCUUCUACAUUGUUUAUUCUACACAAUUCCAUGGGUCAGACCCAGAGAACAGAAAGGGACAGACAAAUACUGCUUUCAGUUUCAUUUGCAAAAAACACUGAGCAUUUUAAAUGACUAUUUAUUAAAAAAUUACUUAGAAUUUA